GUUUCAACAAGUUGUUAUUGACUGAAACGAUACUCUUGUUCUUACAUCGCUUUGUUGAUUUCCCUCAGUUUAAAGUAAAAAGAAACAAAAUUACAAA